CAGCGGGAUGGUGAUGGGCUCCACCUUCAACCGCCUGUUCUGGGCUGAUGAUCCCUACGCAACA
rnacentral:ncRNA from 2 species